rnacentral:rRNA from 1 species
AAUCCAUAGGUUAAUGAGGCGAACCGGGGGAACUGAAACAUCUAAGUACCCCGAGGAAAAGAAAUCAACCGAGAUUCCCCCAGUAGCGGCGAGCGAACGGGGAGGAGCCCAGAGCCUGAAUCAGCAUGUGUGUUAGUGGAAGCGUCUGGAAAGGCGCGCGAUACAGGGUGACAGCCCCGUACACAAAAGCGCAUGUGCUGUGAGCUCGAUGAGUAGGGCGGGACACGUGGUAUCCUGUCUGAAUAUGGGGGGACCAUCCUCCAAGGCUAAAUACUCCUGACUGACCGAUAGUGAACCAGUACCGUGAGGGAAAGGCGAAAAGAACCCCGGCGAGGGGAGUGAAAAAGAACCUGAAACCGUGUACGUACAAGCAGUGGGAGCACCCUUUGGGUGUGACUGCGUACCUUUUGUAUAAUGGGUCAGCGACUUAUAUUCUGUAGCAAGGUUAACCGAAUAGGGGAGCCGGAGGGAAACCGAGUCUUAACCGGGCGUU